rnacentral:rRNA from 1 species
AGUGAACGCUGGCGGUAGGCCUAACACAUGCAAGUCGAACGGCAGCACAGGAGAGCUUGCUCUCUGGGUGGCGAGUGGCGGACGGGUGAGGAAUACAUCGGAAUCUACUCUGUCGUGGGGGAUAACGUAGGGAAACUUACGCUAAUACCGCAUACGACCUACGGGUGAAAGCAGGGGACCUUCGGGCCUUGCGCGAUUGAAUGAGCCGAUGUCGGAUUAGCUAGUUGGCGGGGUAAAGGCACACCAAGGCCACGAUCCGUACCUGGUCUGAGAGGAUGAUCAGCCAAACUGGAACUGAGACACGGUCCAGACUCCUACGGGAGGCAGAAGUGGGGAAUAUUGGACAAUGGGGGCAAGCCUGAUCCAGCCAUACCGCGUGGGUGAAGAAGGCCUUCGGGUUGUAAAGCCCUUUUGUUGGGAAAGAAAUCCAGCUGGCUAAUACCCGGUUGGGAUGACGGUACCCAAAGAAUAAGCACCGGCUAACUUCGUGCCAGCCGCCGCCGUAA